AGAGUUUGAUCCUGGCUCAGAAUCAACGCUGGCGGCGUGCCUAACACAUGCAAGUCGAACGAGAAAGUGGAGCAAUCCAUGAGUAAAGUGGCGACCGGGUGAGUAACACGUGACUAACCUACCUUCGAGUGGGGGAUAACCUCGGGAAACCGGGGCUAAUACCGCAUAAUAUCUUCGGGAUGAGAAGCCGAAGAUCAAAGGAGCAAUUCGCUGGAAGAGGGAGUCGCGGCUGAUUAGCUAGUUGGCGGGGUAAUGGCCCACCAAGGCUUUGAUCGGUAGCCGGCCUGAGAGGGCGCACGGCCACACUGGAACUGAAACACGGUCCAGACUCCUACAGGAGGCAGCAGUGGGGAAUUUUGCGCAAUGGGGGAAACCCUGACGCAGCAACGCCGCGUGGAGGAUGAAGUCCCUUGGGACGUAAACUCCUUUCGACCCGGACGAUAAUGACGGUACGGGUGGAAGAAGCCCCGGCUAACUUCGUGCCAGCAGCCGCGGUAAUACGAGGGGGGCAAGCGUUGUUCGGAAUUAUUGGGCGUAAAGGGCGCGUAGGCGGUGCGGUAAGUCACCUGUGAAAUCUCCGGGCUUAACUCGGAGCCUGCAGGCGAAACUGCCGUGCUUGAGUGUGGGAGAGGUGCGUGGAAUUCCCGGUGUAGCGGCGAAAUGCGUAGAUAUCGGGAGGAACACCUGUGGCGAAAGCGGCGCACUGGACCACAACUGACGCUGAGGCGCGAAAGCUAGGGGAGCAAACAGGAUUAGAUACCCUGGUAGUCC
rnacentral:rRNA from 1 species